rnacentral:rRNA from 1 species
AUUGAACGCUGGCGGCAUGCUUUACACAUGCAAGUCGAACGGCAGCACGGGCUUCGGCCUGGUGGCGAGUGGCGAACGGGUGAGUAAUGCAUCGGAACGUACCGUGUAAUGGGGGAUAACGUAGCGAAAGUUACGCUAAUACCGCAUACGCCCUGAGGGGGAAAGCGGGGGAUCGUAAGACCUCGCGUUAUACGAGCGGCCGAUGUCGGAUUAGCUAGUUGGUGGGGUAAAGGCCUACCAAGGCGACGAUCCGUAGCGGGUCUGAGAGGAUGAUCCGCCACACUGGAACUGAGACACGGUCCAGACUCCUACGGGAGGCAGCAGUGGGGAAUUUUGGACAAUGGGCGCAAGCCUGAUCCAGCCAUGCCGCGUGAGUGAAGAAGGCC